AGAUUGAACGCUGGCGGAAUGCUUUACACAUGCAAGUCGAACGGCAGCACGGGGGUAACCCUGGUGGCGAGUGGCGAACGGGUGAGUAAUACAUCGGAACGUGCCCAGUCGUGGGGGAUAACGUAGCGAAAGCUACGCUAAUACCGCAUACGAACUCUGGUUGAAAGCGGGGACUCGCAAGAGCCUCGCGCGAUUGGAGCGGCCGAUGGCAGAUUAGGUAGUUGGUGGGGUAAAGGCUCACCAAGCCUGCGAUCUGUAGCUGGUCUGAGAGGACGACCAGCCACACUGGGACUGAGACACGGCCCAGACUCCUACGGGAGCAGCAGUGGGGAAUAUUGGACAAUGGGCGAAAGCCUGAUCCAGCAAUGCCGCGUGAGUGAUGAAGGUCUUCGGAUUGUAAAGCACUUAA
rnacentral:rRNA from 1 species